rnacentral:rRNA from 1 species
UGCCAGCCGCCGCGGUAAUACGAAGGGUGCAAGCGUUGUUCGGAUUUAUUGGGCGUAAAGCGCGCGCAGGCGGAUGUGUAAGUCAGAUGUGAAAUCUCGGGGCUCAACCCCGAAACUGCGUCUGAAACUACAUAUCUAGAAUCUUGGAGAGGGAAGGGGAAUUUCUCAUGUAGGGGUAAAAUCCGUAGAGAUGAGAAGGAACACCAGAGGCGAAGGCGCCUUCCUGGACAAGCAUUGACGCUGAGGCGCGAAAGCGUGGGGAGCAAACAGGAUUAGAUA